UUAAGCGACUAAGCGUACACGGUGGAUGCCCUGGCAGUCAGAGGCGAUGAAGGACGUGCUAAUCUGCGAAAAGCGACGGCGAGGUGAUAUGAACCCUUGACCCGUCGAUGUCCGAAUGGGGAAACCCAGUGCAAUCCGUUGCACUAUCGUUAACUGAAUACAUAGGUUAACGAGGCGAACCGGGGGAACUGAAACAUCUAAGUACCCCGAGGAAAAGAAAUCAACCGAGAUUCCCCCAGUAGCGGCGAGCGAACGGGGAGCAGCCCGGAGUCUGAAUCAGCUUGUGUGUUAGUGGAACGGUCUGGAAAGUCCGACGGUACAGGGUGAUAGUCCCGUACACGAAAGCACACUUGCUGUGAACUCGAAGAGUAGGGCGGGACACGUGGUAUCCUGUCUGAAUAUGGGGGGACCAUCCUCCAAGGCUAAAUACUCCUGACUGACCGAUAGUGAACCAGUACCGUGAGGGAAAGGCGAAAAGAACCCCGGCGAGGGGAGUGAAAAAGAACCUGAAACCGUGUACGUACAAGCAGUGGGAGCCUCUUUUAUGGGGUGACUGCGUACCUUUUGUAUAAUGGGUCAGCGACUUAUAUUCUGUAGCAAGGUUAACCGUAUAGGGGAGCCGAAGGGAAACCGAGUCUUAACUGGGCGUUAAGUUGCAGGGUAUAGACCCGAAACCCGGUGAUCUAGCCAUGGGCAGGUUGAAGGUUGGGUAACACUAACUGGAGGACCGAACCGACUAAUGUUGAAAAAUUAGCGGAUGACCUGUGGCUGGGGGUGAAAGGCCAAUCAAACCGGGAGAUAGCUGGUUCUCCCCGAAAGCUAUUUAGGUAGCGCCUCGUGAACUCAUCUUCGGGGGUAGAGCACUGUUUCGGCUAGGGGGCCAUCCCGGCUUACCAACCCGAUGCAAACUACGAAUACCGAAGAAUGUUAUCACGGGAGACCACACGGCGGGUGCUAACGUCCGUCGUGAAGAGGGAAACAACCCAGACCGCCAGCUAAGGUCCCAAAGUCAUGGUUAAGUGGGAAACGAUGUGGGAAGGCACAGACAGCCAGGAUGUUGGCUUAGAAGCAGCCAUCCAUUUAAAGAAAGCGUAAUAGCUCACUGGUCGAGUCGGCCUGCGCGGAAGAUGUAACGGGGCUAAACCAUGCACCGAAGCUGCGGCAGCGACGCUUAUGCGUUGUUGGGUAGGGGAGCGUUCUGUAAGCCGUUGAAGGUGUGCUGUGAGGCAUGCUGGAGGUAUCAGAAGUGCGAAUGCUGACAUAAGUAACGAUAAAGCGGGUGAAAAGCCCGCUCGCCGGAAGACCAAGGGUUCCUGUCCAACGUUAAUCGGGCAGGGUGAGUCGACCCCCUAAAGGCGAGGCCGAAAGGCGUAGUCGAUGGGAAACAGGUUAAUAUUCCUGUACUUGGUGUUACUGCGAAGGGGGACGGAGAAGGCUAUGUUAGCCGGGCGACGGUUGUCCCGGUUUAAGCAUGUAGGCGGAGGUUCCAGGUAAAAUCCGGUACCUUUUAACGCUGAGGUGUGAUGACGAGGCACUACGGUGCUGAAGUAACAAAUGCCCUGCUUCCAGGAAAAGCCUCUAAGCAUCAGGUAACACGAAAUCGUACCCCAAACCGACACAGGUGGUCAGGUAGAGAAUACCAAGGCCGCUUGAGAGAACUCGGGUGAAGGAACUAGGCAAAAUGGUGCCGUAACUUCGGGAGAAGGCACGCUGAUAUGUAGGUGAAGUCCCUGCGGAUGGAGCUGAAAUCAGUCGAAGAUACCAGCUGGCUGCAACUGUUUAUUAAAAACACAGCACUGUGCAAACACGAAAGUGGACGUAUACGGUGUGACGCCUGCCCGGUGCCGGAAGGUUAAUUGAUGGGGUUAGCGGCAACGCGAAGCUCUUGAUCGAAGCCCCGGUAAACGGCGGCGUAACUAUAACGGUCCUAAGGUAGCGAAAUUCCUUGUCGGGUAAGUUCCGACCUGCCACGAAUGGCGUAAUGAUGGCCAGGCUGUCUCCACCCGAGACUCCAGUGAAAUUGAACUCGCUGUGAAGAUGCAGUGUACCCGCGGCAAGACGGAAAGACCCCGUGAACCUUUACUAUAGCUUGACACUGAACACUGGUCCUUGAUGUGUAGGAUAGGUGGGAGGCUUUGAAGCGUGGACGCCAGUCUGCGUGGAGCCGUCCUUGAAAUACCACCCUUUAAUGGCUGGUGUUCUAACGUAGACCCGUAAUCCGGGUUGCGGACAGUGUCUGGUGGGUAGUUUGACUGGGGCGGUUCCCUCCCAAAGAGUAACGGAGGAGACACGAAGGUUAGCUAAUCCUGGUCGGACAUCAGGAGGUUAGUGCAAUGGCAUAAGCUACGUUGACUGCGAGAGUGACGGCUCGAGCAGGGUGCGAAAGCAGGUCAUAGUGAUCCGGUGGUUCUGAAUGGAAGGGCCAUCGCUCAACGGAUAAAAGGUA
rnacentral:rRNA from 1 species